rnacentral:rRNA from 1 species
UACGGAGGGGGCUAGCGUUGUUCGGAAUUACUGGGCGUAAAGCGCACGUAGGCGGCUUUGUAAGUUAGAGGUGAAAGCCCGGGGCUCAACUCCGGAAUUGCCUUUAAGACUGCAUCGCUAGAAUUGUGGAGAGGUAAGUGGAAUUCCGAGUGUAGAGGUGAAAUUCGAUAGAUAUUCGGAAGAACACCAGUGGCGAAGGCGACUUACUGGACACAUAUUGACGCUGAGGUGCGAAAGCGUGGGGAGCAAACAGGG